GAUGAACGCUGGCGGCGUGCCUAAUACAUGCAAGUCGAGCGAACAGACGAGGAGCUUGCUCCUCUGACGUUAGCGGCGGACGGGUGAGUAACACGUGGAUAACCUACCUAUAAGACUGGGAUAACUUCGGGAAACCGGAGCUAAUACCGGAUAAUAUAUUGAACCGCAUGGUUCAAUAGUGAAAGACGGUUUUGCUGUCACUUAUAGAUGGAUCCGCGCCGCAUUAGCUAGUUGGUAAGGUAACGGCUUACCAAGGCAACGAUGCGUAGCCGACCUGAGAGGGGGAUCGGCCACACUGGAACUGAGACACGGUCCAGACUCCUAAGGGAGGCAGCAGUAGGGAAUCUUCCGCAAUGGGCGAAAGCUUGACGGAGCAACGCCGCGUGAGUGAGGAAGGUCUUCCGAUCGGAAAACUCUGUUAUUAGGGAAGAACAAAUGUGUAAGUAACUAUGCACGUCUUGACGGUACCUAAUCAGAAAGCCACGGCUAACUACGUG
rnacentral:rRNA from 1 species